AAAUUUGCUCAAUUCCCUAAAUCUACCCUAAUUUUCAGUCUAAUUUACUCAAACACCAACCAUUCAAUCAGAUUACACAAAGCAUACAAUCAAAUCGUCACAACAAAAUCCAACCAAUCCCCGAAACAGAGGAGAUUGAUCGAGAAUGACAAAAAAAUCAUCUAACUCUCAAAACGGAGGACAAAGGAGGAACACAUACCUGAUUUUGAUUGGAAGCGGCGGAGAAGGUUUGUAUAUGAGGACAGAGCGGUGUAGAUUGAGCGAGAACAGAUCGGUUGUGUUGCAAAUCGCCUUCGGGAGAGAAGAGGGAGACGAUGAAAACGAGAGACACCGUAAUACUCGACUUAACCCUAAGCCCGAUUCGGUCUUCCUUCCGGAGGCUGACACGUGCCCUUAAGGACGAGCAUAAAAACUUCUUAAUUAGCAAACAU
rnacentral:lncRNA from 1 species